AGGGUGAACGCUGGCGGCGUGCCUAGCACAUGCAAGUCGAGCGGUGCAGUUUGAAGCUUCGGUGGAAAGCUGCAUAGCGGCGGACGGGUGAGGAAAACGUAGGAACGUGCCCCUUGGAGUUGGAUAGCCACGGGAAACUGUGGGUAAACCGACAUAGACUCGAGAGAGUAAAGGCCGAAAGGCGCCAAGGGAGCGGCCUGCGGCCCAUCAGGUAGUUGGUAGUGUAAAGGACUACCAAGCCGACGACGGGUAGCCGGUCUGAGAGGAUGGCCGGCCACAAGGGCACUGAGAGACGGGCCCUACUCCUACGGGAGGGCAGCAGUGGGGGAGUUUUGGUACAAUGGGCGAAAGCCUGAUCCAGCGACGCCGCGUGGAGGACGAAGCCCUUCGGGGUGUAAACUCCUUUUCUCAGGGAAAAAGGAAUGAUGGUACCUGAGGAAUAAGCCCCGGCUAACUACGUG
rnacentral:rRNA from 1 species